GAUGAACGCUGGCGGCGUGCCUAAUACAUGCAAGUCGAGCGAACGGACGAGAAGCUUGCUUCUCUGAUGUUAGCGGCGGACGGGUGAGUAACACGUGGAUAACCUACCUAUAAGACUGGGAUAACUUCGGGAAACCGGAGCUAAUACCGGAUAAUAUUUUGAACCGCAUGGUUCAAAAGUGAAAGACGGUCUUGCUGUCACUUAUAGAUGGAUCCGCGCUGCAUUAGCUAGUUGGUAAGGUAACGGCUUACCAAGGCAACGAUGCAUAGCCGACCUGAGAGGGUUAUCCGCCACACUGGAACUGAGACACGGUCCAGACCCCUACGGGAGGCAGCAGUAGGGAAUCCUCCGCCAUGGGCGGAAGGCGUACGGAGCAACGCCGGGUGAGUGAUGAAGGUCUUCGGGUCGGAAAACUCUUUUAUUAGGGAAGAACAUAAGUGUAAGUAACUGUGCACAUCUUGACGGUACCUAAUCAGAAAGCCACGGCUAACUACGUG
rnacentral:rRNA from 1 species